UGCCAGCAGCCGCGGUAAUACGAACCGCUCGAGCGUUAUUCGGAAUCAUUGGGCUUAAAGAGCACGUAGGCGGCUUGGUAGGUGAGAUGUGAAAGCCCACGGCUCAACCGUGGAAUUGCGUUUCAAACCCCCAAGCUCGAGGAAGAUAGGGGUGAUGGGAACUUAUGGUGGAGCGGUGAAAUGCGUUGAUAUCAUAGGGAACACCGGUGGCGAAAGCGCAUCACUGGAUCUUUUCUGACGCUGAGGCACGAAAGCUAGGGUAGCGAACGGGAUUAGAUA
rnacentral:rRNA from 1 species